CAUAUUUUAGAUGAUUUUAAAAAAUUUUAAAAACACUUUUAUCUCUCUCUCUCUCUCUCUCUCUCUCUCUCUCUCUCUCGUUAAUCACCACCUUCAGACAAGUUUCCAUGGCUUCAUCUUCACCAUUACAGAUUUGAAAUGAAAAAAUGAGAAAAGCAUGACGGUGAAAGAAAUUUCCUAGAGAGAGAUUUUUUGGCUAUUACAGAUGACAGGAACAGAUAGCGAGGUGGUUAUUAUUGAUAAUAGCGAAGCUUCUGUUUAGCUUGAAAAACAUGAAGAAAUUUUUAUUGAACUUAUGGAAGAAGAAGUUUUGAAGGGAAAUAGGAAUACUACAACCUUUACAAAGCAAUCAUGGAAGCGUAUAAAGGAGGAGCUUUAUGCACAAGCGAAGAGAAGUUACACUGAUACGCAAUUAAGGAACAAAUACAAUCUGUUAAGACAAAAGCACAAGGAUUUCAAGUCUUUACUGAAAGAGACUGGCAUAGGAUUUAGUGUAGUGAAAUGGCUAAUGUCCGUGAUGAAAUUGCUGAUCAUAUAUGGAGAGCAAAUCGACGAUGAAGAUAAUGGGUGAAGAUUAUUAACAAUUAGAACUUUUUUAAUAGUUUUCUUCAAGAUUAGACAAUUAUUAGUUCAUAUUUUAUUAUGAAUUUGUCGGUUUUGUGUUAUAGAUAAUGUAUUUCGUGAUUUUAAAUUACUUGAAUUUUUUAAAAUGUUAAUGAGUAUUUUUAUUUGA